rnacentral:rRNA from 1 species
CCUACGGGUGGCAGCAGUGAGGAAUAUUGGUCAAUGGGCGCGAGCCUGAACCAGCCAAGUAGCGUGAAGGAUGACUGCCCUACGGGUUGUAAACUGCUUUUAUAAAGGAAUAAAGUGAGGCACGUGUGCCUUUUUGUAUGUACUUUAUGAAUAAGGAUGGGCUAACUCCGUGCCAGCAGCCGCGGUAAUACGGAGGUUCCGGGCGUUAUCCGGAUUGAUUGGGUUGAAAGGGAGCGUAGAGGGGUUGUUAAGGCUGUUGUGAAAGUUGGCGGCUCAACCGUAAAAUUGCAAUUUAUACUGGCAUCCUUGUGUACAGUUCAGGUAGGCGGACUUCGUCGUGUAGCGGU